AGAACAAAACUACAAAAUCCCAAUAUCAUUAACAAAAUUUAUCCGGAAAAAGCAAAAAUUUCUUUAAAAUAAAAAGUUGCCUAAAAACAGAAAUUGCUGUUCCAGAGACUAUAUUGUUACAGCCCAAAAAAGAAGCUACGCAAAGGUGGUGGGUAAUGAAAUGCAAACAAAAACACACACUACAGAUACGGCAAGACUAACAAAGAGGAGCUGAGCUGAGAAGCUACGCAGAGGUGGUGGGUAAUGAAAUGCGAACAAAAACACACUACUGAUACGGCAAGACUGUCAAAGAGGGAGCUGAGCUGAGCUGAGCUUUGCUUUACUCUUCGCCUUGGCUCUCAUCCUUCACCAGUUUGAUCAUGUCGUCAAUUCGCAGAAUUG
rnacentral:lncRNA from 1 species